AUAUUGGACAAUGGGGGCAACUCUGACCCAGCUAUGCCGCGGUUGUGAAGAAGGUCUUCGGAUUGUAAAGCAUUGUAAGUUGGGAGGAAGGGCUUUCGGGUAAUACCCUGAAGUUUUGACGUUACCAACAGAAUAAGCACCGGCUAACUCUGUGCCAGCAGCCGCGGUCAUACAGAGGGUGCAAGCGUUAAUCGGAAUUACUGGGCGUAAAGCGCGCGUAGGUGGUUCAGUAAGAUGGGUGUGAAAUCCCCGGGCUUAACCUGGGAACUGCUUUCAUAACUGCUGAGCUAGAGUACGGUAGAGGGUAGUGGAAUUUCCUGUGUAGCGGUGAAAUGCGUAGAUAUAGGAAGGAACACCAGUGGCGAAGGCGACUACCUGGACUGAUACUGACACUGAGGUGCGAAAGCGUGGGGAGCAAA
rnacentral:rRNA from 1 species